UACGUAGGGACCAAGCGUUGUUCGGAUUUACUGGGCGUAAAGGGCGCGUAGGCGGCAAUUCAAGUCAUCUGUGAAAUCUCCGGGCUUAACUCGGAACGGUCAGAUGAUACUGCUUUGCUAGAGUGCAGAAGGGGCAAUCGGAAUUCUCGGUGUAGCGGUGAAAUGCGUAGAUAUCGAGAGGAAUACCGAUGGCGAAGGCAGGUCUCUGGGCUGACACUGACGCUCAUGCACGAAAGCGUGGGGAGCAAACAGG
rnacentral:rRNA from 1 species